rnacentral:lncRNA from 1 species
CAGCUGCUCAAGUCAGAUCCCCACCAUACCAUGACACCAGCAGUGAGGAAGUCUAUGUGUCCUAACUACUGUGCUCCUGCUUUAACCUCUACACAGUCAGAGAAGGCAAUUCAGGCUGACCAGACUGGCACUCUCCAGUUUCAAGCAAAUUAUUGGAAGUAUGAAAUCAGCUUCAAAAGUGAAGCAUCUGUCUGCUUGAUCUCUAAUGCAGGUUUUGAUGUGUGCGUUCAGAGUCAUCGCGAUUGACACUGAAAGUGGAGAUGGCACACAACAAAAGGAGAAUACAAAUUAAGCGCGUCUCAAAAAGGUGAGCCGAAUUUCCCUGCGUUUCCGCCGGUGCCGGGCGGAGAAGGAGUCCCCGCAGCGCUGUCGGGACACUUCCCGGAGCCGCCAGCCCCAGCC